CUACGGGAUGCUCCAGUGAGGAAUAUUGCACAAUGGGGGGAACCCUGAUGCAGCAACGCCGCGUGGAGGAUGACGCACUUCGGUGUGUAAACUCCUUUUAUAUGUCAAGAAAAUGACGGUAGCAUAUGAGUAAGCACCGGCUAACUCCGUGCCAGCAGCCGCGGUAAUACGGAGGGUGCAAGCGUUACUCGGAAUCACUGGGCGUAAAGGACGCGUAGGCGGGUUGGAAAGUCAGGUGUGAAAUCCUACAGCUUAACUGUAGAACUGCACUUGAAACUUCUAAUCUAGAGUAUGGGAGGGGGAGAGGGAAUUAGUGGUGUAGGGGUAAAAUCCGUAGAUAUCACUAGGAAUACCUAAAGCGAGGCGAUCUCCUGGAACAUUACUGACGCUAAGGCGUGAAAGCGUGGGGAGCAAACAGGAUUAGAUACCCGGGUAGUC
rnacentral:rRNA from 1 species